GACGAACGCUGGCGGCGUGCUUAACACAUGCAAGUCGAGCGAUGAAGUUCCUUCGGGAAUGGAUUAGCGGCGGACGGGUGAGUAACACGUGGGUAACCUGCCUCAUAGAGGGGAAUAGCCUUCCGUAAGGAAGAUUAAUGCCGCAUAAGAUUGCAGUUUCACAUGAAACAGCAAUUAAAGGAGUAAUCCGCUAUGAGAUGGACCUGCGUCGCAUUAGCUAGUUGGUAAGGUAACGGCUUACCAAGGCGACGAUGCGUAGCCGACCUGAGAGGGUGAUCGGCCACAUUGGGACUGAGGCACGGCCCAGACUCCUACUGGAGGCAGCAGUGGGGAAUAUUGCACAAUGGGGGAAACCCUGAUGCAGCAACGCCGCGUGAGUGAUGAAGGUCUUCGGAUUGUAAAACUCUGUCUUCAGGGACGAUAAUGACGGUACCUGAGGAGGAAGCCACGGCUAACUACGUGCCAGCCGCCGCCGUAA
rnacentral:rRNA from 1 species